AGCGAACGCUAGCGGGUGGCUUAACACAUGCAAGUCGAGCGGGGUCUUCGGGCCCAGCGGCGAACGGGUGAGUAACACGUAGGAUAUCUGCCUUUUGGUGGGGCAUAGCCGAGGGAAACCCCGAUUAAUACCGCAUAUGGCCUAUGGGUCGAAAGACCUUCGGGCGGCCAAGAGAGGAGCCUGCGGCCCAUUAUUUAAUCCUAGUUGGUGGGGUAAGUGGCCUACCAAGGGUACGGAUGGGUAGGCUGGUCUGAGAGGACGAUCAGCCACACUGGAACUGAGACACGGUCCAGACUCCUACGGGAGGCAGCAGUGGGGAAGUAAUUGCGCAAUGGGCGGGAAGCCUGACGCAGCCAACCCGCGUGUGUGAUGAAGGCCUCGGUU
rnacentral:rRNA from 1 species